CAAUCCUAGGUAGAUUUUCAUGUUUAAAAUUUAUUUACGUGUCAAAGAUCGGAUCAAAGACGUACCUGGUGAAGAGAGUCUCGUUUGAAAAUUCUUCGAUAGUGCGAAGACUCUAUGCGUAUCCACACCGAGACCGAUCCUUGCUAUCAACUCUUUGAUCAAUGAAACACGUGAACAAAUUGAACGAAGAAUAUUUUGUUGCAAUUUUUCUCAAAAAUCUCAACUCAAAUUAGAAGAACAAGAAACACUUUU
rnacentral:lncRNA from 1 species